GUGCUAACUUCAGCAGCACACAUACUAAAAUUGGAAUGAUACAGAGAAGAUUAGCAUGGCCCCUGAGCAAGAAUGACAUGCAAAUAUGUGAAGGGUUCCAUAUUUUU
ensembl:snRNA U6 U6 spliceosomal RNA